AGUGAACGCUGGCGGUAGGCCUAACACAUGCAAGUCGAACGGCAGCACAGUAAGAGCUUGCUCUUACGGGUGGCGAGUGGCGGACGGGUGAGGAAUACAUCGGAAUCUACUUUAUCGUGGGGGAUAACGUAGUGAAACUUACGCUAAUACCGCAUACGAACUACGGGUGAAAGCAGGGAAUCUUCGGACCUUGCGCGAUUAAAUGAGCCGAUGUUGGAUUAGCUAGUUGGCGGUGUAUAGGUCCACCAAGGCGACGAUCCGUAGGUGGUAUGAUAGGAAGAACAGCUAGAUGGGAUCAGAGAAUGGGUAGCGAGUCCUAAGGGAGGAAGCGGUGGAGAAUAUUACACGAUGGGGGAAAGCCUAAUACAGCAAUACCGGGUAGGGGAAGAAGGAGUUCGGGUGGUAGAACCAUUUUGUUGGGAGAGAAGAGCAGCAGGUUUAUACGCCGCUAUUAUGACGGUAACCUAAGAAUAAGCAACGGCUAACUUCGUG
rnacentral:rRNA from 1 species